rnacentral:rRNA from 1 species
CCUGCGGAAGGAUCAUUAUCGAAAUAAACUGAUGGGUUGCUGCUGGUUCUCUAGGGGACAUGUGCACACUUGUCAUUUUUAUAUCUCCACCUGUGCACCUUUGUAGACCAGAAUAUCUUUCUGAAUGCUUGACAUUUAGGUUGUGAGGAUUUGGCUGAGCCGUCUGCCUUUCCUUUCCUUUUCGGGUCUAUGUUUCUUCAUAUAAAUACCCCUUGUAUGUUAUAGAAUGUAAUGAAUAUGGGCCUUGGUGCCUAUAUAAACCUUUAUACAACUUUCAGCAACGGAUCUCUUGGCUCUCGCAUCGAUGAAGAACGCAGCGAAAUGCGAUAAGUAAUGUGAAUUGCAGAAUUCAGUGAAUCAUCGAAUCUUUGAACGCACCUUGCGCUCCUUGGUAUUCCGAGGAGCAUGCCUGUUUGAGUGUCAUUAAUCUAUCAAUCUCUUAGGCUUUUUUGCUUGUUGAGUGUUUGGAUGGUUGGGGGUUAUUAUUUGCUGGCCUGGUCAGCUCCCCUGAAAUGCAUUAGCGGAACCAUUUGUUGAUCGUUCAUUGGUGUGAUAAAACUAUCUACGCUAUUGACGUGAGGCAGGGCUCAGCUUCUAACUGUCUAUUGACUUGGACAAAUCCUUCAUUAAUGUGACCUCAAAUCAGGUAGGACUACCCGCUGAACUUAA